rnacentral:lncRNA from 1 species
AAGUGAAAAGGGGGAGAAAUAAAUGAGUGAAAAUGUUUUCAGAGUGAACAUUUAAGAAAGAGAGAGGGAAAGGUGAGGUUCAUAAAGGGAGCGAGUGAGUCGGACUAAGAGAAGGGGGUGGAUGUGGAAAGCGGACUUCAAAGUAUUUAGGCGAAGAUACACAGACAGACAGAUAGACGGUCGGACAGAAUGAUGCAAUAAAGGAAAAAAUUAAUGAAGGUUACUGCUAUUGUUUUGUGUUCUACUAAUUAACACUCAUUCGACCACGUAACUAUUUUGAGCAGUUCGGAGAACAAGUGGAUCAUCUUUAUAAUUCAUACAAUUUAUCUACAAAACAAAACAAAACUAAACUAAAGGAAAAGAACGGAUUCAAAAAUAGAAGACCUUAAACUAACUAAUCCACAUGCUGUCAGUAUAUACGAUCUCAAUUCGCAGCCGCCACGUCGUACUCCGUAACAUUUUAUUUCUGAUAGACGGACGGUUUUAUUCCUUUUCCAGCUCGUCUGAUGUUGACUGCCAAACGAAAAUAUG